AGGUUGGCCAAGUUAAGCAUGUGAGAAAACGAUUUUGUAACAACAAUUGAAUCCCCAGGAUCCAAACUCGUUAUCACUUUCCCAAGUUCCUCCAACUUUUGAGGGUCAUGCUUCCCUUCAUACUCAGCAGAAAGUUCAUAACAAUCUUGAACCGUUUCUCGGAUAUCCUCCCCAUGCAAAUCCUGCAAGAUAUCAAGAAAACGGUCCAAUAACAGAGCAUCAUACUCCACUAACUUGUCAUCCGCGGAAACUUUGCGAGGUGCCAAUAGCCUGAGCUGCGCAUCUAUUGAUGCCAUCUUCUCCAAAUUCCUAGCAGCCAUAGUAGCUAUGUUUGCCCUGCCUCGUUGCUUGCUCGGUUAUAAAUGAAGGUGGGAAAGAGAAUAUAUAGCAGCGGAAAUGGUAAGAAAGCGAAAGCAGUAGAAGAUGGAAGUGAAUCUCGUGAAAGACACAAAAAGAAGAUCGCGUAGAUUCUUCGCCGAGAACUGGAUGCCCUUCGAACACAACUUGCUACGUUGGUAUCAGAGAGAUUGGGAGGAGAUUCGAUGUGCACAGCCUAAAGGUUAUACAGGAAAAUUCCA
rnacentral:misc_RNA from 1 species